GGACUCUUAGCUCAGUUGGUUAGAGCGUCACAUUGACAUUGUGAAGGUCAGAGGUUCGAGUCCUCUAGGGUCCA
rnacentral:tRNA from 1 species